CACACGUGAGACUCGCCUGCCAAGACAGACGCUUUCCCUAUACUGUCCCUACAGGAAAGCAGUUGUUUGUUUGAACUGAUGUGAUUGAAGGGGUGUAUGUGGAGUAUCAUCUUCGAGGUCUGUGAUGUCUUGGUGUAUGAAAGUAGGGGUCACGCCAUCUAUAGUCUUGUCUACCACUUUCUGUAAGUAGUUCUGUAUGCAGGGGAAUAUGCAACAGGUCAAAAAUAAGAAAAUGACGAUCAUUAUGAGAACAGCUGUCCCCACCUGGAAGAGG